CACGAAACUGUAUGAGCUAACUAAAAUUGAAACUAUGUUGCAUAAUAGAUAAAAAGUUAUAGUUAGGAGUGAAAGGCUUUACAAACGCAGUGAUAUCUUGAUUUUCCCAAAAAGUAUUGAGUACGUUGAAAAGUUUAGAGCGAUAAGGUUUUAAAUUGACAUUAAACAUGGUUAGUUAAAUAUGUUGAUAUAAAAGUCUAUAAAAAUGUAAAUUAAUAUUGAUAAUUGAGAAUUAUGAUGCGUAGGGAAACAUUAUUAACUUUAUUCUAAGUUGAUUAUGUUAAUAUUAGUAAUUUGGAGGUGCCAAUAGUGAACUCGGCAUUAAGUUUUCAACUGUUUAUCAAAAACAUAGCUGCGUGUAUUACACGCAGUAAUUUCUGCUCAAUGAGAUAUUAAAUAGCCGCAGUACCCUGACUGUGCAAAGGUAGCGUAAUCAAUUGUCUUUUAAUUAAAGACGGGUAUGAAAGAAUAUAUGGGGACUUUCUUUACCAUUGGUAAAAACAGAAUUUACUUAUUGAGUGAAAAUACUCAUAAAUAAAUAAUAGACGAGAAGACCCUUGAAAUUUUUAGUAGUUUUUUGUUGGGGCAACAUAGUAGCAGAUAACCUACUAAACUUAACUAGAAAUUAUGUAGCGUGAUUAAAUUACUCUAGGGAUAACAGCGUAAUUUUUGAUUGUUUGUGACCUCGAUGUUGGAUUAGGAAGUUGUCAUUUAGAA
rnacentral:rRNA from 1 species